GAGGUCUCACAAAAGCCCCUUGGGAAAAAGGCAGGCAGCAGCCAAGGGGCCUUCCCCGUGAAGCCUCCGUCAGUGCGUCAGAUGAAGUGGUCCCUGCUGGGUGCUUUGCCGGGGUCUACGAGGCAAUUCAAGAUGAGAAAUGGAACGGUGGCUUCAGAAAAGCAAAUCAUUCCAGCCGCCCCUUCAACACCUCGAAGAAACAAGCUCUUUUUGUGUGUGUGAAAAUGGGGAAUAUAUUGUUUUUCAGUCUUUGGAAGACUGUUUUCUCAUCUUGAAAUCACAAGCUGCUUUCUUCCAGCGAGACUUAUAAAUACAUCCAAUUAUCGACAUUCAAUAUAGGAAAUAAAGUUCCGAAAUUGUUUUCUUCCCCCACGUACAGAGAAGGCCGGGUGGGUUGCACAGGUUCCCAGGAUGGCUGCCCGUCUGGCUGUAUCUCUGCUUAUCUGAAGACCUCACAUUCAUCGGAGUUUUCAACAGCAAACAGACCUUCAGCUCAGCUACCCCAGUCAGAAGAG
rnacentral:lncRNA from 1 species